CCUACGGGAGGCAGCAGUAAGGAAUAUUGGGCAAUGGACGCAAGUCUGACCCAGCCAUGCCGCGUGCAGGAUGAAGGCCCUUUGGGUUGUAAACUGCUUUUAUCUGGGAAGAAAUCCACUGUUUCUACGGUGGUUGACGGUACCAGAGGAAUAAGCACCGGCUAACUCCGUGCCAGCAGCCGCGGUAAUACGGAGGGUGCAAGCGUUAUCCGGAUUCACUGGGUUUAAAGGGUGCGUAGGCGGGUUUUUAAGUCAGCGGUGAAAGCUCCGAGCUUAACUCGGAAAUUGCCGUUGAUACUAUUAAUCUUGAAUUUAGUUGAGGUGGGCGGAAUGUGUAGUGUAGCGGUGAAAUGCUUAGAUAUUACACAGAACACCUAUUGCGAAGGCAGCUCGCUAAACUAAUAUUGACGCUGAGGCACGAAAGCGUGGGGAUCAAACAGGAUUAGAAACCCUGGUAGUCCACGCCCUAAACGAUGAUUACUCGAUCCGUGCGAUACACUGUACGGGUCUAUGCAAAAGCAUUAAGUAAUCCACCUGGGAAGUACGACCGCAAGGUUGAAACCUUAAAGGAAUUGACGGCNGAGAGUGCGAGACGACACGAGGGAGAG
rnacentral:rRNA from 1 species